GAUGAACGCUGGCGGCGUGCCUAAUACAUGCAAGUCGAACGCAUAGCGAAAGGUGCUUGCACCUUUCAAGUGAGUGGCGAACGGGUGAGUAACACGUGGACAACCUGCCUCAAGGCUGGGGAUAACAUUUGGAAACAGAUGCUAAUACCGAAUAAAACUUAGUGUCGCAUGACACAAAGUUAAAAGGCGUUUCGGCGUCACCUAGAGUUGGAUCCGCGGUGCAUUAGUUAGUUGGUGGGGUAAAGGCCUACCAAGACAAUGAUGCAUAGCCGAGUUGAGAGACUGAUCGGCCACAUUGGGACUGAGACACGGCCCAAACUCCUACGGGAGGCUGCAGUAGGGAAUCUUCCACAAUGGGCGAAAGCCUGAUGGAGCAACGCCGCGUGUGUGAUGAAGGCUUUCGGGUCGUAAAGCACUGUUGUAUGGGAAGAACAGCUAGAAUAGGAAAUGAUUUUAGUUUGACGGUACCAUACCAGAAAGGGACGGCUAAAUACGUG
rnacentral:rRNA from 1 species